GACGAACCGUCCUAACGUUGUUCGGAUUCACUGGGCUUAAAGGGCGCGUAGGCGGGCGCACACGCCCGGGGUGAAAUCUCUCGGCUCAACCGGGAGGCUGCCCCGGGGACGGCGCGCCUGGAGGGAGGCAGGGGCCCGCGGAACUUCCGGUGGAGCGGUGAAAUGCGUUGAUAUCGGAAGGAACGCCGGCGGCGAAAGCGGCGGGCUGGACCUCUUCUGACGCUGAGGCGCGAAAGCCAGGGGAGCGAACGGG
rnacentral:rRNA from 1 species